AGUGAACGCUGGCGGUAGGCCUAACACAUGCAAGUCGAACGGCAGCACAGUAAGAGCUUGCUCUUACGGGUGGCGAGUGGCGGACGGGUGAGGAAUACAUCGGAAUCUACUUUUUCGUGGGGGAUAACGUAGGGAAACUUACGCUAAUACCGCAUACGACCUACGGGUGAAAGCAGGGGAUCUUCGGACCUUGCGCGAUUGAAUGAGCCGAUGUCGGAUUAGCUAGUUGGCGGGGUAAAGGCCCACCAAGGCGACGAUCCGUAGCUGGUCUGAGAGGAUGAUCAGCCACACUGGAACUGGACCACGGUCCAGACUCCUACGGGAGGCAGCAGUGUGGAAUAUUGGACAAUGGGCGCAAGCCUGAUCCAGCCAUACCGCGUGGGUGACGAAGGCCUUCGGGUUGUAAAGCCCUUUUGUUGGGAGAGAAAAGCAGCAGGUUAAUACCCCGCUGUUCUGACGGUACCCAAAGAAUAAGCACCGGCUAACUUCGUG
rnacentral:rRNA from 1 species